rnacentral:rRNA from 1 species
GAUGAACGCUGGCGGCGUGCCUAAUACAUGCAAGUCGAGCGAACAGACGAGGAGCUUGCUCCUCUGACGUUAGCGGCGGACGGGUGAGUAACACGUGGAUAACCUACCUAUAAGACUGGGAUAACUUCGGGAAACCGGAGCUAAUACCGGAUAAUAUAUUGAACCGCAUGGUUCAAUAGUGAAAGACGGUUUUGCUGGCACUUAUAGAUGGCUCCGCGCCGCAUUAGCUAGUUGGUAAGGUAACGGCUUACCAAGGCAACGAUGCGUAGCCGACCUGAGAGGGUGAUCGGCCACACUGGAACUGAGACACGGUCCAGACUCCUACGGGAGGCAGCAGUAGGGAAUCUUCCGCAAUGGGCGAAAGCUUGACGGAGCAACGCCGCGUGAGUGAUGAAGGUCUUCGGAUCGUAAAACUCUGUUAUUAGGGAAGAACAAAUGUGUAAGUAACUAUGCACGUCUUGACGGUACCUAAUCAGAAAGCCACGGCUAACUACGUG